rnacentral:rRNA from 1 species
UACAGAGGUCUCAAGCGUUGUUCGGAUUCAUUGGGCGUAAAGGGUGCGUAGGUGGCAUGGUAAGUCGGAUGUGAAAUCCCAGGGCUCAACCCCGGAACUGCAUUCGAUACUGCUGAGCUAGAGUACUGGAGAGGAGAUUGGAAUUUACGGUGUAGCAGUGAAAUGCGUAGAUAUCGUAAGGAAGACCAGUGGCGAAGGCGGAUCUCUGGACAGUUACUGACACUGAGGCACGAAGGCCAGGGGAGCAAACGGG